UUAAGAAGUGGGUGUUCCCUCUCCAACCACUGCCUCCUUCUGUCUGCUGGAUGCAGAACACCCUGAGGCAGCUAGUGAACAGCAGGACCACGAGAUAGAAGCUAGGUCCCCGAAUCAUCCUGUGGAGGCAAAUUGCUCUAAACCAGGAUCAACUGCGCUGACUGUUGCUUGAACCAGGAGCGAAUUUUCAAAAUCCUGAUAUCAGCAAACAUGCGGCUUGGCAAGCUGGGAAUAUUAACCUGAGGUCCCAUCAGGGUUCUUCAUGACUUUAACAUGGUUCAACCAUAGUUAGUAAGGCCGUAUGAUUCUCCCACUUCGGGUGUGAUCCUUGUUGGUACCUGGACUUACAGCAGAUGUACAUAAGAGACAUUACUGUACUGAACAGCAGAAUGCAGAAAUGCAAGACACCGUGGAAGAUUGUCUCCCCACAACAACAUACAAUAGGAAGCUGUAGAAACUGAGAGAUGCACAAAGCGUGGGCGUCAAGUGCUCACGUGAGGCAGCCGAAGCCACAGGUAGAAAGAAAAUGGUAAUGAAAAUUAUUUCAUAGCAACAGGAGAAAUAAGUAAGAAAGGACACAGCAUCUUCAUAGAAUGGAAGCCUCGUGAUACUUACAAAUACGACUAGAAUCUUGUUCCCUCAUUGAAGGACACAACCAUGCAGUACUUGUAUAGAAGUUACCGAAUGUCAUCGUGGUAGUCCUUACGAGAGUAACCAUCAACAAAGUAGGCACACUUAGGAGAAUAGGAAGAUGGCUCCCCAUUCUUCCAGGAACAUGGAUGUCAUAAACCGUGUUUUAAAGGAGUGUGAGAAGACAUUUCCAGACCCUGGGAAGGAAACUGUGGGGAGAGCAGAGAAGGCAAGAGAUCAGGACUCUUAGACAAAGAAUCUGGACCCAUCAUAUCCAAGCACUGGAGAGCCCAUUUGUGAUACCAGAAGUGGCUGCAGAUUGAACGGGAAGAGGGUCCAUCCACUACAGUGACUCAUGCUGCUGGACAUAGCACCCAUAGGAGAUAAGCCCAAUUCUGGCUCCCCUCACCCAGUCAAGGGGUGCUUCUGCCACCAGCAUACUCUCCUAGACAGUUAGGGAGGCUGUGAAUAGAUUUCCGGGUCCCUUGGGAGUCAAGAAAGGGGGCAUAGUCUGUAGAUGGAUCAGAAGUGACGCUUUGGUGGCAGCCAUAAACUUUCUCACCGUGUCUCAUAAAUGAUGAGUAUGUCUUUUCUCCCCAACUGGACUCUAAGCUUCUGGAGACCAGAAACGAGUUUUACUGAGUCAGUGUGGACACAGUAGAUUCAUUUGUUUCCACGAGCCUCACUAGAUGAUCCACUUUUCUCCUUCCCUCAGCCUCCCAUCCCUUGUCUAUUGUUUAUUCAUGGUUUAAACCAUAUAAAAGUGAAUUCUAAAUUAAUGUUGAGGAUUCUAGAUGGCUGAUGUCUUCCCCUUGCUGAA